rnacentral:rRNA from 1 species
AUACGGAGGAUCCGAGCGUUAUCCGGAUUUAUUGGGUUUAAAGGGUGCGCAGGCGGCCAUUUAAGUCAGCGGUUAAAUCGUGGGGCUCAACCCCAUUCUGCCGUUGAUACUGGGUGGCUUGAUUGCGGUCGAGGUUGGCGGAAUUCGUUGUGUCGCGGUGAAAUGCAUAGAUAUGACGAAGAACACCGAUUGCGUAGGCAGCUGACCAGACCGCAAAUGACGCUCAUGCACGAAAGUGCGGGGAUCGAACAGGAUUAGAUACCCUGGUAGUCCGCACAGUAAACGAUGAAUACUUGUUUUCGGCGAUAUAAUGUCGGAGGCAAAGCGAAAGCGAUAAGUAUUCCACCUGGGGAGUACGCCGGCAACGGUGAAACUCAAAUGAAUUGGCGGGG